GAGAUUUCUUAAUUUGUUUUGAGAAUAAUGAAAUGGCUUGACAUUACAGUAAAAGAAAUUUCUCAUGUGUUUACAGUGUGAAAUCAAAGUUGCACAACCCAAAGAGGUAUACAGGCAGCAACAGCAGCAACAAAAAGGAGGAAGAGGUGCUGCAGCUGGUGGACGAGGUGGCACUAGGGGUCGUGGACGAGGUGAGGCUUUAUUCUUUGAAAAUGACUCCAUGGUUUAAGCUGUAAACUGCUCACUAGAAAUAAGCCCAGGAGAAAAUAAAGCAGAUUUUCAGCAUAAAAUGCUCAAGUUAAUGAGUGGGUAUUUGUUAGUUCACUGGUUUCGCGUCUUCCGAUAAUGGCCACUUUUAAUGGGAAAGUAAUAGCAGUUUAAUGUAGUUAGGAUUACGUGAUAACACCAUGGCAUGCUAGGUUUUGGGGGCGGGAGACCUUGUUUUAAAACCAAACAGCCUACCUGUCUUCACCUUUGUUCUGAUUUUUCGGUUACAUUGAGGAAGCUUGGUAAUUGGUGCAGUUGGACUUUCUGUCCCCUUUUAUGACAACUGGAGUAAUUUUCUCAGUCAGAUAAUUAUAUAGAUGUCCGUUCACCUGUUUCAGAUUUUCAGCGUGAGGGACAGGAAUACAACAUUUUGUGGUAGGAUUGGGGGUCAGAAGUUGUUAUCUAACAAUCAUUGUGCAUUGUUUCAGGUCAGGGCCAAAACUGGAACCAAGGAUUUAAUAACUAUUAUGAUCAAGGAUAUGGAAAUUACAAUAGUGCCUAUGGUGGUGAUCAAAACUAUAGUGGCUAUGGCGGCUAUGAUUAUACUGGGUAUAACUAUGGGAACUAUGGAUAUGGACAGGGAUAUGCAGACUACAGUGGCCAGCAGAGCACUUACGGCAAGGCAUCUCGAGGGGGUGGCAAUCACCAAAACAAUUACCAGCCAUACUAAAGGAGGACAUUGGAGAAAACAGGAGGAAAUUGCUAAAGUUAACCCAUCUUGCAGGACGACAUUGAAGAUUGGUCUUCUGUUGAUCUAAGAUGAUUAUUUUGUAAAAGACUUUCUAGUGUACAAGACACAACUGUGUCCAACUGUAUAUAGCCGCCAAUUAGUUUUCUUUGUUUUUACUUUGUCUUUUGCUAUCUGUGUUAUGACUCGAUGUGGAUUUGUGUUUAUACAAAUUUUAUUUGUAUGAUUUCAUGUUAAACCUCAAAUAAAUGCUUCCUUAUGUGAUUGUUUUUCUGCGUC
rnacentral:lncRNA from 1 species